CUACGUGCCAGCAGCCGCGGUAAUACGUAGGUCCCGAGCGUUGUCCGGAUUUAUUGGGCGUAAAGCGAGCGCAGGCGGUUAGAUAAGUCUGAAGUUAAAGGCUGUGGCUUAACCAUAGUACGCUUUGGAAACUGUUUAACUUGAGUGCAAGAGGGGAGAGUGGAAUUCCAUGUGUAGCGGUGAAAUGCGUAGAUAUAUGGAGGAACACCGGUGGCGAAAGCGGCUCUCUGGCUUGUAACUGACGCUGAGGCUCGAAAGCGUGGGGAGCAAACAGGAUUAGAUACCCUGGUAGUCCACGCCGUAAACGAUGAGUGCUAGGUGUUAGACCCUUUACGGGGUUUAGUGCCGCAGCUAACGCAUUAAGCACUCCGCCUGGGGAGUACGACCGCAAGGUUGAAACUCAAAGGAAUUGACGGGGGCCCGCACAAGCGGUGGAGCAUGUGGUUUAAUUCGAMGCAACGCGAAGAACCUUACCAGGUCUUGACAUUGAUGGACAGAACUAGAGAUAG
rnacentral:rRNA from 1 species